AGUGAACGCUGGCGGUAGGCCUAACACAUGCAAGUCGAACGGCAGCACAGAGGAGCUUGCUCCUUGGGUGGCGAGUGGCGGACGGGUGAGGAAUACAUCGGAAUCUACUCUGUCGUGGGGGAUAACGUAGGGAAACUUACGCUAAUACCGCAUACGACCUACGGGUGAAAGCAGGGGACCUUCGGGCCUUGCGCGAUUGAAUGAGCCGAUGUCGGAUUAGCUAGUUGGCGGGGUAAAGGCCCACCAAGGCGACGAUCCGUAGCUGGUCUGAGCAGAUGGUCAGCCACACUGGAACUGAGACACGGUCCAGACUCCUACGGGAGGCAGCAGUGGGGAAUAUUGGACAAUGGGCGCAAGCCUGAUCCAGCCAUACCUCGUGGGUGAAGAAGGCCUUCGGGUUGUAAAGCCCUUUUGUUGGGAAAGAAAUCCAGCUGGCUAAUACCCGGUUGGGAUGACGGUACCCAAAGAAUAAGCACCGGCUAACUUCGUGCCAGCCGCCGCAGUAA
rnacentral:rRNA from 1 species